GAUGAACGCUGGCGGCGUGCCUAAUACAUGCAAGUCGAGCGAACAGAUGAGGAGCUUGCUCCUCUGACGUUAGCGGCGGACGGGUGAGUAACACGUGGAUAACCUACCUAUAAGACUGGGAUAACCUCGGGAAACCGGAGCUAAUACCGGAUAAUAUACUGAACCGCAUGGUUCAAUAGUGAAAGACGGUUUUGCUGUCACUAAUAGAUGGAUCCGCGCCGCAUUAGCUAGUUGGUAAGGUAACGGCUUACCAAGGCAACGAUGCGUAGCCGACCGGAGGGGGUGAUCGGCCACACUGGAACUUAGACACGGUCCAGACUCCUACGGGAGGCAGCAGUAGGGAAUCUUCCGCAAUGGGCGGAAGCCUGACGGAACAACGCCGCGUGAGUGGUGGAGGUCUUCGGAUCGUAAAACUCUGUUAUUAGGGAAGAACAAAUGUGGAAGUAACUGUGCACGUCUUGACGGUACCUGAUCAGGAAGCCACGGCUAACUACGUG
rnacentral:rRNA from 1 species